UACGGAGGGUGCAAGCGUUAUCCGGAUUCACUGGGUUUAAAGGGUGCGUAGGUGGGCAGGUAAGUCAGUGGUGAAAUCCCCAGGCUUAACCUGGGAACUGCGUCGGAUACUGGAUGGCUUGAAUUCGGGAGAGGGAUGCAGAAUUCCAGGUGUAGCGGUGAAAUGCGUAGAUAUCUGGAGGAAUACCGGUGGCGAAGGCGGCAUCCUGGACCGACAUUGACGCUGAACGGCGAAAGCUAGGGGAGA
rnacentral:rRNA from 1 species